rnacentral:rRNA from 1 species
CCUACGGGUGGCUGCAGUCGAGGAUCUUCGGCAAUGGGCGCAAGCCUGACCGAGCGACGCCGCGUGUGCGAUGAAGGCCUUCGGGUUGUAAAGCACUGUCGAGGGGGAGGAAAGCCGCAAGGUCUGACCUAUCCCUGGAGGAAGCACGGGCUAAGUUCGUGCCAGCAGCCGCGGUAAGACGAACCGUGCGAACGUUGUUCGGAAUCACUGGGCUUAAAGGGCGCGUAGGCGGAUCGUACAGUCUAGGGUGAAAUACUCCGGCUUAACCGGAGAAC